GGACGAACGCUGGCGGUGUGCUUCACACAUGCAAGUCGAACGAGGUAGCAAUACCUAGUGGCGGACGGGUGAGUAACGCGUGGGAAUCUGCCUUUAGAUGGGGGAUAACGGGUCGAAAGACUCGCUAAUACCGCAUAUGACGAAAGUUGAAAGGAGUAAUCCGUCUAAAGAUGAGCCCGCGUCCGAUUAGCUAGUUGGUAGAGUAAAAGCCUACCAAGGCGACGAUCGGUAGCUGGUCUGAGAGGAUGAUCAGCCACAAUGGGACUGAGACACGGCCCAUACUCCUACGGGAGGCAGCAGUGGGGAAUUUUACGCAAUGGGCGAAAGCCUGACGUAGCGACACCGCGUGAGCGAAGAAGCCCCUUGGGGUGUAAAGCUCUGUCAGCUGGAACGAAAAAAAUGACGGUACCAGCAGAGGAAGCAUCGGCUAACUACGUGCCAGCAGCCGCGGUAAGACGUAGGAUGCAAGCGUUGUCCGGAUUUAUUGGGCGUAAAGAGUUCGUAGGUGGUUUGUUAAGUUUGGUGUUAAAGAUUGGGGCUCAACCCUGAAACUGCACUGAAUACUGGCAGACUCGAGUGUGGUAGAGGCUAGUGGAAUUCCCAGUGUAGCGGUGAAAUGCGUAGAUAUUGGGAAGAACACCGGUGGCGUAGGCGACUAGCUGGGCCAUAACUGACACUGAGGAACGAAAGCCAGGGGAGCGAAUGGGAUUAGAUACCCCAGUAGUCCUGGCCGUAAACGAUGGAUACUAGGCGUAUCGGGUAUCGACCCCUGAUGUGCCGCAGCUAACGCGAUAAGUAUCCCGCCUGAGUAGUACGGCCGCAAGGUUGAAACUCAAAGGAAUUGACGGGGGCCCGCACAAGCGGUGGAGCACGUGGUUUAAUUCGAUGCAAACCGAAGAACCUUACCUGGGUUUGACAUGCAGGUGGUAGUGAAAUGAAAGUGGAACGACCUUGCAGCGAUGUAAGGAGCCUGCACAGGUGCUGCAUGGCUGUCGUCAGCUCGUGUCGUGAGAUGUUGGGUUAAGUCCCGCAACGAGCGCAACCCCUAUUGCCAGUUGCUAACAGGAGAGCUGAGCACUCUGGCGAGACUGCCGCCGACAAGGCGGAGGAAGGUGGGGAUGACGUCAAGUCAUCAUGGCCUUUAUGCCCAGGGCUACACACGUGCUACAAUGGCCGGCACAGACGGCAGCUUAGUGGCGACACUUGGCCAAUCCUCCAAAGCCGGUCCCAGUUCGGAUUGCAGUCUGCAACUCGACUGCAUGAAGUCGGAAUCGCUAGUAAUCGCAGAUCAGCAAAGCUGCGGUGAAUACGUUCCCGGGCCU
rnacentral:rRNA from 1 species